CCUACGGGCGGCAGCAGUAGGGAAUUUUCGUCAAUGGGCGCAAGCCUGAACGAGCAAUGCCGCGUGAACGAUGAAGGUCUUCGGAUCGUAAAGUUCUGUUUAUGGGGAAAAAAAGCGGAGAGAGGAAAUGUUCUCCGAUUGAUAUUACCCUUCGAGGAAGUCACGGCUAACUACGUGCCCGCAGCCGCGGUAAUACGUAGGUGGCGGGCGUUAUCCGGAAUUGUUUGGCGGAAAGGGUGCGUGGGCGGGCUGGUAAGUCUGGGGUGAAAGGUAGCGGCUCAACCGGUGAAGGGCCUGGGAAACUGGCAGGCUAGAGAGCAGGAGAGGGCGGUGGAACUCGAUGUGUAGCGGUAAAAUGCGUAGAUAUAUGGAAGAACACCAGUGGCGAAGGCGGCCGCCUGGCCUGUUACUGACGCUGAGGCACGAAAGCGUGGGGAGCAAAUAGGAUUAGAUACCCUUGUAGUC
rnacentral:rRNA from 1 species